rnacentral:lncRNA from 1 species
CCAUGGCAACCCUCCCGCGCAGGCCAUAAGAGGCAAAUGAACCUUUGUUGGUUGGCGGGAAAUCGAGACCCUGGCAAGGGGGCUUCUCCCUUGGAGAAGCCUGAGAACUGCCAGGUCCGCGGCCGUUAACCCGCCUCUAGGGACGGCCGCACUGCGCAUGUCUGAAAGGGAACUAGAAAGGGAGGAGCGAGAGAGGGUGGGGCUGAGGAGGAGGCUGUGUGAGAAAAGGGGCGGGGCGCGCCCAAAGUCUGGCGGAAGAGCGUUACCCUGGCAACCCUCCCGCGGAGGCCGAGAGAGGCCACCGGCCCUUUGUUGAUCUGCGAGAAAUCAAACUACGAACACGACAAGCAUUAGCCUGCAGCUCGAGGAGACAAGGAAUAAAUCCAACUUGAUCAUAACAUCCAACUGUGUUGCCCAGGCUAGUCUCAAACUCCUGGAUUCAAGAGCCCCUCUCCUCUCAGCCUACGAAAGUGCUGGGAUUAAAGCCUGAACUGACAGCCACAAGUGGCACCUGAACAGGGACUUGAACAAAGAAGGUCUGCUGGAGCAGAAAAAGUGAAACUGACCAGAUGAAUGAGAAACCCUGGGAUGAGUCUGCCUGCAGAGGAUAUAAGGAGAUGGAUAAACCGUGUGAGUGCCCUCAAGUUGUGUGCGACCAUGGAAUGGGAGACUGGAGGGAUACAUGGAUCCCAACUACAGGCCCAGCUCCUCCAGUAUGAGCCAUGAGCCAGUUGAAUCUGAAUGUGAAGAUGGAAUGAAGACCGACGAGAGUCACACUGACGUCAACCCUCAUAACAUGGGGUCAGAUCAAGAAAACCACACCAGAAGCUGAGAAACUGGUGUAGUGCCAGGGUCAGGCAAAAACCCCUGACUCCAUGUUUAUGGCCAUGCUAGCUGUAAUAUCCUGUGCAGUAUGAUUUUUCUGUGCAGAAGCAAAAACAUAUUGGGCAUAUUUUCCUAACCCACCGGUAGUGUGAUCAUACUCUGAAGCAGCACUCCUCCUGAGAUAUAUCAUGAUCAAGGAGCAUCAGUACCAGGACCUCUAACUCCCCCUGACACAGAGCAAUUAGACUCUCAUAACAAUGGUAUCAAUUAUACCACUCCAUUGGAGGGACUUCCUUUAUGUGUCACCCAGGAUACAUUGCUCAACUGCAGUUGCCUUGCAGUUUGAUCCCAAG